UAAGAUAUAGACAUGAGUGUCGUACUAUAAAGUUAUCAGAUUGAUAAAUACAAUAUAAUUUGUUUUGGAUAAAAUUGUCAAUCUAGUCAUCUAUUUAUAAUAAUAAGCAGAUAACUGAAAAAAAAACAUAUAAAUAUUCAAAAGAUAUAUAUUUAUAAUUAUGAGCACAUACUUGUCAUCCUCAAAUAGUAUCGUAAUUUUUUUUGUUUCUUUACCGUUCUUACUGUUUUCUUCCAUUCUACUAAUUCCAGAAAGCUUCCCAAUGACAUCUGAUAAAUUAGAAAAAUAAAAUGUAAGAAUCAAUAUAGUAGGUACACAUAUUAAAAAUUAAAUUUUAAAAAUCAAAUAUGGGAUGCAUGUAACAACUCAUACCUACUAAAUAUUUGUCAUCAGUGACAUUAGCAAAGAUUUCAUCAAAAGGGAUAAAUAUAAAUCCAUACUUUAAUGUUGUCAAAACAUCUUUCAUUUCACGUACAACCGUAGAAUAUUGAAAAUUGAUUUUGUAAGGAUAUUUAGUGGUCCUGUAGGAACCACUGCUCUGCCCCACUCCAAACUGGUUGAUCACAUAAACUUUUUUUUCCGUAAAAAAGGUCUUUAAAUUUGUUCAGGAAAGCUUUUCUUACCGUUGCAUGUAUGGUAUCUCUCUAAAAUAGAAAAUAAACAAAUUAUAUAGUAUCUUUUAGUAAAAAUAAAGCAAACGUAUGUUCAAUUUGAAAAUAAAAAUCGUAUCUUACAUUUGAUCAGAAAAAACUAACUCUAGAUUAUUCACCACCUCUGGACGAUAAAAUUCAGGCAUAGUAUAUAGAUAAAUCAUUCUAACUUUGAUCUUCCAUUUGUCUCCAACAGAAAUGAUGUUACGUAUAGAAUCAUAUCCGAGUGCCAUAUUCUGAGAACAAUAAGACAUCCAAGAAAAAAAAAUUAAUAUUUGCUUCGUAUUUAAGUAAUAAAAUAAAAUUAAUAUUUGUAUAAUACUCGGAGUGAAACCAUAAAGGGGAUAGAAAUAAUGAAAAUA
rnacentral:lncRNA from 1 species